CCAUACAGUGCUUUUUUUUUGUCUGCGAUUUCCAAUUCAACUGAUCAAAAUUUUUAGUCCUUUUUCCGGCAAAGAUUAAUAGACAGUGUUUCAGAUUUUCCGUGAUGUUUGAAGCAAUCUCUACUCAAUAAAAGGAUAAGCUCACGCGCGGGUGUCUACAAACAUGGCCUGUGAAGUGUUGCAUAACCAUUGCCAGCCGAUUCUUGUCAAUGGUGAAUUGAUGCCUACAGUGCCAGAGUACACGCCCUCGCUUCUCGUCUCAUUGAAGGGUAUUAAACAACAUAUCGUUUGCAAGUCAUCUGCCCUGACAACUCCAAUCACAUCAAGCCCUACAACUUUUG